GCGCCCGUAGCUCAGUCGGACAGAGCGUCCGCCUUCUAAGCGGAGGGUCGUAGGUUCGAAUCCUGCCGGGCGCGCCA
rnacentral:tRNA from 1 species